CGAACUGAUUGGCCAUCACCAAAGUGGUAU
rnacentral:sRNA from 1 species